UGGAAAUAGCUCAGUUAGCAGAGCGUUAGACUGGAGAGUUAAAGGUCCCUGGUUCAAUCCAGGAUUUGGCAG
rnacentral:tRNA from 1 species